rnacentral:rRNA from 1 species
UACGAAGGGGGCUAGCGUUGUUCGGAAUUACUGGGCGUAAAGCGCGCGCAGGCGGUCUUCCAAGUCAGUGGUGAAAGCCCGGAGCUCAACUCCGGAACUGCCAUUGAAACUGUUAGACUUGAGGACGAGAGAGGUGAGUGGAAUUCCCAGUGUAGAGGUGAAAUUCGUAGAUAUUGGGAAGAACACCGGUGGCGAAGGCGGCUCACUGGCUCGUAACUGACGCUCAUGCACGACAGCGUGGGGAUCAAACAGG